rnacentral:rRNA from 1 species
CCUACGGGGUGUAGCAGUAGGGAAUAUUGCUCAAUGGGGGAAACCCUGAAGCAGCAACGCCGCGUGGAGGAUGAAGGUUUUCGGAUUGUAAACUCCUUUUGUUAGAGAAGAUAAUGACGGUAUCUAACGAAUAAGCACCGGCUAACUCCGUGCCAGCAGCCGCGGUAAUACGGAGGGUGCAAGCGUUACUCGGAAUCACUGGGCGUAAAGAGCGCGUAGGCGGGAUAGCAAGUCAGAUGUGAAAUCCUAUGGCUUAACCAUAGAACUGCAUUUGAAACUGUUAUUCUAGAAUGUGGUAGAGGUAAAGGGAAUUCCUGGUGUAGCGGUGAAAUGCGUAGAUAUCAGGAGGAACAUCGGUGGCGAAAGCGCUUUACUGGACCAUUAUUGACGCUGAGGAACGAAAGCCAGGGGAGCAAAUGGGAUUAGAUACCCUUGUAGUC